CAGAAUGGAGUAAAGAACAAAAAAAUAGACACUUAUCAGGUGAAUGGUGCUACUUCUCUAUCUCACCUCAUGUAUGCGGAUGAUAUCCUCAUAUUUUCAAAGGCAAAUCCGAAAUCGCUUAAUGCAAUUAAAACGGUGCUUGAGAAAUUCUCAUUAUUCUCGGGAUUGGAAGUAAAUGCGAGUAAAAGCUCCUCCACCUUCUCAAAAGUAUGUGCAGAAAAUCAAUCUUUACAUAAUAUCUUAGGAUAUACUGUUAAAAGUCUACCUAUAACAUAUCUAGGGUUACCAAUCACGGGAAAGAAAAAGUCAUUUGGAC
rnacentral:lncRNA from 1 species